rnacentral:tRNA from 1 species
GCCAAGGUGGCGUAGCCCGGGAACGCACCAGACUGAAGAUCUGGGUAUCGGGAGUUCAAAUCUCCCCCUUGGCA